UGGGGAAUAUUGGGCAAUGGGCGCAAGCCUGACCCAGCGACGCCGCGUGGGGGAAGAAGUCUUUCGGGACGUAAACCCAUGUUGUACGGGACGAAGGAAGUGACGGUACCGUACGAGGAAGCCCCGGCAAACUACGUGCCAGCAGCCGCGGUAAUACGUAGGGGGCGAGCGUUGUCCGGAAUCACUGGGCGUAAAGCGCACGUAGGCGGGCUGUUAAGUCGGCCGUGAAAUACACUGGCUCAACCGGUGCAGGUCGGUCGAUACUGGCGGUCUGGAGUAUGGGAGAGGGAACUGGAAUUUCCGGUGUAGCGGUGAAAUGCGUAGAUAUCGGGAGGAACACCAGUGGCGAAGGCGGGUUCCUGGCCCAUGUCUGACGCUGAGGUGCGAAAGACGGGGGAGCGAACGG
rnacentral:rRNA from 1 species